ACCAGAAUGGCUGAGUGGUUAAGGCGUUGGACUUAAAAUCCAAUAGAUACAUAUCCGGGUGGGUUCGAUCCUCACUUCUGGUA